rnacentral:misc_RNA from 1 species
AUGGACAACAAUUCGACCCAGGAGUUUGAGUUCCUCGAUUUCACAGACAUCAAUGACAUGGAACGUGGUCGAUUGCUGCAUAUGCUGUAUUCUGCACGCAAUGAGUCAUGGGUGUCUGGAGAAGAUGGAUUCAAACAUCCUGAUUUUCCCUGGACUUUUCGCGGUACUCAACCUCAGGCACUUCCUCCGCCAGGUUUAAUGAAUGAAGUAGGCAACAUUACACAUAUUUCUGAUUGGAAUACAGCAGCAGAUGAAUAUGAUUGUGGUUAUCCGAUAGUUAAUGGUGAUACAGAACCUGAGAAUCCUGUGAUGAUAAAUGGUGGAAAUUUUGUUCCUGGCCCUCCUCCACCAGUUUAUCAAAUGGUGCCAAAUCCUCCAGUAUAUAUGGGCAACGUACCUCCGCCAGUACACGGAUAUGUCCCAUCUCAAAUGUCGCCAUAUCAGCAACCAAUGUAUCCUGGUCCAGAACCCCCUAUGGACCCAAAUCUUAGGCGGCCAAAUAUUUCCAGGAAUCCAAAAGGAAUCCCUCCUCUGCCAAAUGUAAAACGGAAUAAUGAUAUAGCCUAUCGACAUCCAGACAAUAUGGAAAUGGCCAAUUACCAAUCACCACCAACAUAUAUUGCUGUCCCUCCUCCACAUUAUUAUUAUUCACCACAAAAUAGUCCAUUAUACCUGCCACCUCAUCAUGGACAUCCAACAUAUCCCAUGUAUACUCAUCCACAUCCUACUUUAUACAAUCCAUACCAACAGCCAGGUCCUCCUAUGUACCAUUCACCACCGGCUGGUCAAGUACCCCAACAACCUCUUUUAGUCGAAUCAUGCAAACCUAAUGUUAAUCAAAUUCCACCAGUGCAUAAUAUUUACCCUCAAGUACCAGAAAAUGUUAAUGAGCCUCCAGUCACAUCUAACCCAGAAAUGUCAAUACCACAAGAUAAAGAAGAAGAGUUACAAGUUCAACCAGACCAUGUAGAAGUUAAUGAAAUUGUAUCAGAGGAGACAAGAGAUGAACAAUUAGUUAUUGUAAGUGAUGUGCCUAUUGUAGAGUCAAUUCCACCAGUUGAGUCUUGUGAAAAAAUUAAAGAACCACCGUCUAUUAAAACAAAAAAAAAGAAAGAAUUUGCCCCUAAUAUUUCUUCAGAUGUCGUACUAGAAAUCCAAAAACAUGAGAAAGAAGAAACUAAAACAGAAGAUGUUACUCCUGUUGUAGAAUUUAAAGAAGAAACUUCUGUAACUCAAGAACAGGCUUCUUUACCUUCUAUCCCUCCUGUUGUUUUACCUGAAGUUCAAGACACUGAACCUGUAAAACCAGUUUUUAAAACAUGGGCAGGACUAUUUACUGGAUGUACUAGUACAAGUAGUGAUAAAGUUUUCACAUUACAUGGUAGUAGCCAACCAACUACCAAUACAAGUACAGAAUCUGUAAUAAUGCCAUCAAGAAUUUUACCUGAUAAUGCAAUUCGAACUUCAGUAUUUAUAACUAAUAACCAAAAACAAACAUUACCAGUUAAACCUAGAUCUUCAAGCAGCAACUCUAUAUCUAAUAUUGAUGAUAAUACAUUGCAUUUACAAAGAUUAGGUGAAUUCCUUUCGGUUUAUAAUUUGGAUCAUAAAACCGCUCAUUUACAACCUCGAGGCCUAACAAAUCGUAACACACGUUGUUAUAUAAAUGCCACAUUGCAAGCUUUGUUAACAUGCCCUCCUUUUUUCAACCUCAUGAGAAGUGUACAAUUUAAACUCAAAAAUAGAAACAAUCGAGGACAACAAAAAACCCAAACCCCAAUUCUAGAAAGCAUGGUUCAAUUUAUUGGAGAAUUUCAACAACUAAGCAUUAAAAACGGUAGAACUACUCAACAGCAACGCCAAGCUACAUCAGUCGCUACUCAAGAAACACCUGAUACUGGUCCAGCUUUUGAACCCAGUUAUGUUUAUAAAAUAUUACCAGCUUUUGAAGAAGGCCGCCAAGAAGAUGCUGAAGAAUUUAUGAGUUAUCUUCUUAAUGGAAUUAAUGAUGAAAUGAUUGAACUAAUUAAAAUGAGCAAAUCUAACAUAAGCAAUGGUGAAACUCAAGCUGAAGUUGAUGUUAUUGAUAAUAACAAUGAGUGGAAAGAAGUUAAUGGUAAACAUAAAAUGGUGACCAGAAGAACAGUAAUGGAAAAAACUCCACUGUCUGAGAUAUUCCGUGGACAGCUACGUACUCGCACAGUAAAAAAUGGUGAAAAUGAACCGACUGAAAAUAUUGAACCUUUCUUUACACUUAAGCUAGACAUUGAGAAAGCAAAAUCUGUUCGGGAAGCUUUGGAUAUGCUAGUUAAUAAAGACACACUUGAAGGAUUGACUUGUCCCAAAACCAACCGAGAGUUAGAUGCAUACCAACAAGUUACUAUUGAUGAACUACCUUAUGUCUUGUUAUUGCAUCUUAAAUGUUUUGAAUACAAGCAACAGAAGCUGACUAAAAUUGUGAAAAACGUCGAGUUCUCCGUUGAUCUUAAAAUUGAACCUAGGCUCAUAUCAAAAAAUUCCAAGAUUAACAUGAAGACAAGACAGUAUAAGCUUUUUGCAGUUGUUUAUCAUGAUGGUAAAGAGGCAAACAAAGGUCAUUACUUUGCUGAUGUAUUUUAUGUGGCACUCGGUAGAUGGUUACGGUUUGACGAUGCGUCUGUACGUUUUGUCACUGACAAAGAAGUUUGUCAACCAAAACCCCCAUGUAUGCCGUAUUUGCUGUACUACAGAAGAAAUGACACAAUUGCUGCACUUUCAGCAUUUGAUAAUAAAGGCAGAUAGUUCGUUCUUUUUACAGACAUUGGUAGGUUCUUGUCACUUGUCAAGACUUAGAUCAAAUGAGCUAUGUGUGUGUAACACUAAAUUAAUUACGACAUUUCAUUAUGGAAGUUGACAUGUUUACUGCCACAAAGUGUAUGGGUAAUCUUUAUAAUUCCCGUGUAAUGGCUGCCUCAGUACAAAGAUAAGUUUUUCAUCCGAAGGAGUUUUAAACAUCAAAAAAGUAGAUUUAUUUACUACUACAAAACUUGACGAAUUCGAUUUCUUUAGAAAAAUAAUAUAAAAGUUAUGAUCUAAUUUGUGUUCAUUAUUUCAUAAAUAGUUAAAAUUUUAUAUGAAUGA